rnacentral:rRNA from 1 species
AAUACGUUCCCGGGCCUUGUACACACCGCCCGUCAAGCCAUGAAAGCUGGGGGUGCCUAAAGACUGUAGCCGCAAGGAGCGGUUUAGGGCAAAACUGGUAAUUAGGGCU